rnacentral:rRNA from 1 species
GACGAACGCUGGCGGCGUGCCUAAUACAUGCAAGUAGAACGCUGAAGGAGGAGCUUGCUUCUCUGGAUGAGUUGCGAACGGGUGAGUAACGCGUAGGUAACCUGCCUGGUAGUGGGGGAUAACUAUUGGAAACGAUAGCUAAUACCGCAUAAUAGCAGUUGUUGCAUGAUAACUGUUUGAAAGGUGCAAUUGCACCGCUACCAGAUGGACCUGCGUUGUAUUAGCUAGUUGGUGGGGUAACGGCUCACCAAGGCGACGAUACAUAGCCGACCUGAGAGGGUGAUCGGCCACACUGGGACUGAGACACGGCCCAGACUCCUACGGGAGGCAGCAGUAGGGAAUCUUCGGCAAUAGACGGAAGUCUGACCGAGCAACGCCGCGUGAGUGAAGAAGGUUGUCGGAUCGUAAAGCUCUGUUGUAAGAGAAGAACGAGUGUGAGAGUGGAAAGUUCACACUGUGACGGUAGCUUACCAGAAAGGGACGGCUAACUACGUG